AUUGAACGCUGGCGGCCGGCCUAACCCAUGCAAGUCGAGCGAGCGGCGGACGGGUGAGUACUGUAGGGGGACUGCCCGAGAGAGGGGGAUAACUACUGGGAACGGUGGCUAAUAACGCAUACUAUAGGAUACCCCAUAUGGGAUUGGCGAGUAGGUGGGGUAAAGGAUCACCUAGGCGACGAUCUCUAGCUGGUCUGGGAGGAUGAUCAUCCACAAUGGUGCUUGUACAAGGCCCCGACCCCUACGGAGGCAGCAGUGGGGAAUAUUGCACAAUGGGCGCACGCCUUAUGCAGCCAUGCCGCGUGUAUGAAGAAGGCCUUAGGGUUGUAAAGUACUUUCAGCGGGGAGGCGUUACCCGCAGAAGAAGCACAGGCUAACUCCGUGCCAGCAGCCGCGGUAAUUC
rnacentral:rRNA from 1 species